ACGAACGCUGGCGGCGUGCUUAACACAUGCAAGUCGAACGGAAAGGCCCUGCUUGCAGGGUACUCGAGUGGCGAACGGGUGAGUAACACGUGGGUGAUCUGCCCUGCACUUCGGGAUAAGCCUGGGAAACUGGGUCUAAUACCGGAUAGGAGCCAUUUUUAGUGUGAUGGUUGGAAAGUUUUUUCGGUGUAGGAUGAGCUCGCGGCCUAUCAGCUUGUUGGUGGGGUAAUGGCCUACCAAGGCGGCGACGGGUAGCCGGCCUGGGAGGGUGGACGGCCACAUUGGGGAUGAGGUACGGCCCAGACCCCUACGGGGGGGAGCAGUGGGGAAUAUUGCACCAUGGGCGGAAGCCUGAUGCAGCGACGCCGCGUGGGGGAUGACGGCCUUCGGGUUGUAAACUCCUUUCGCUAGGGACGAAGCUUUUUGUGACGGUACCUAGAGAAGAAGCACCGGCUAACUACGUG
rnacentral:rRNA from 1 species